UACGUAGGGUGCGAGCGUUGUCCGGAAUUAUUGGGCGUAAAGGGCUCGUAGGCGGUCUGUUGCGUCAGGAGUGAAAACUCGGGGCUUAACCCCGAGCCUGCUUCUGAUACGGGCAGACUAGAGGUAUGCAGGGGAGAACGGAAUUCCUGGUGUAGCGGUGAAAUGCGCAGAUAUCAGGAGGAACACCGGUGGCGAAGGCGGUUCUCUGGGCAUUACCUGACGCUGAGACGCGAAAGCGUGGGGAGCGAACAGG
rnacentral:rRNA from 1 species